UACGUAAUUGCUGUAACAGAGUUAUUUGAGAUUAGAUGAAAUACUCUGAGCUAAAGAUGCAGCAAAUAAACAUAUUACUAUGAAUAACAGCAAUUGUAAUUGGCGUCACAAAAAAAGAGUGUUAUCACACCGGCAGUGCAUGGGCGACAGAGAAAGUUAGGCACAUUUGAAACGUGGUGUACUGGAGUUGUAGCUACAGUGUAGAUGUUGGUUGCAAUGAACGAAUGAAACUGUGUAGCUGUAGCAGAAACGUGUGUUGGAAUUCUGAAAUGAAUGAAACUUUUUGAAGGAAGAUGCGUGUGGUGGUGUGGCAAUGUGUACGUGCGAUACGACAGAAAUGUAGUAGCACACAUGUAUACACAAUGCAGGAAAAGUUUAAAAAGCAUUUUCGUGCCGACUAUAGGUACAAGAAAAAUAUUGUGGAAUUAGAAACAUCUGCCUUAACUCAUGUGAAAUGUAUACUCGAACAUAACUAUGAGGAUUGUGAAAAAGUGUUAUCAGAAUUGACAACCGAACAGUUUCCAUUAUUUUUAUAUUUGUUAAAUUGUAGAGACGUGCUGUUCAGGAUCGAAAAUAUUCGUUUCUGGGAACAAGUUGACAUUGAAUCUUGGAGGAGGUUUAAAAACAUGAGUCCUGAAGACAUUCUUAAAGUAUUGGAUGGAUGGAUGUAUUGUCUCCCUAACAGAAUAACACAGUUAUUAUUUUAUUCACGCACACUUAAUAGAAUGAAGCUCUGGUUUACAUUCAGAGUUUUGUCUGUUCAGCAGUGGGUGCUAUGUGUCUUUUUCAUUGGUCUUGGAAAGAGGAAUAACACAAAGUUAAUGAGGAAAGCACUUAUGGCUUGUGACUGUCAAGAAAUAGUAAAUUCCUUGACACUGUUGGAUUUGUGCAUUGUUCUAAAUGCAAUCUACAAAACUAGCACAAGGGUUCAAGAUUUAAGCCUGCCUGUUGCAGUAACUCAAAAAUUUAAGAAUGAUUUGGAUAAUAUUAUCUUGGAAACUGAUGUGUUUACAACAAUAAUAAAAUUUCUUAGACAGGCAGGAUAUCAUGAUAAUCAUCUGAUGAAUAACAUCAUUGAACUGAUAAUGUCACACCAGUCAGUAUUAAGUACUAUGAACUUUACUGCAGAAGUUCAUCUUCUUGCAUUCUAUGCCGAAGCUCGUUUUUAUGAACGUGAUUUUAUUUCAACUUUGAUUGGUGAGUGCCUCAAAAACCUGGUGUUGCAUGGCACUAAGACUUCUUUCAGAUCGUACUUAACUGAACAUCCAAGACCCAAGGAUAUAACUAGAUUUUUGUGGGCCGUGAGUUAUCUUGGUUGUGAUUUAGAUAAGAGAGACCUUGAUGAAAUAAUUGUGCCUCAGAUUAAACAAAGAAUGCUUCACCAUGAAUACCGGAAUCAACCUGAAGAAGUAAUUGGUAGUUUACUGUAUCUCUGGAUGCUUGGAGCAAGACCAAUAACAUUAUUUGAAAAGAUGGUGACAGUUGAUUUAAUGCGAAGACUAAAAGGGAAACAGCGAAUUCGGCAUAAUUCACGUUUUUGCUUGUUACUGUCUGCUGUUCAGAUAGAGGGACCAAACAUUGUUCAAACUGAACUUUUGAAGGAAAUGAAUUUGUUGAAAAUUUGGAAACCAAAGUUGGAACUUCAUUUGCAAAGAAGAGAGCAACUCUGCAAUGUUUUAAUGGCCAUGAAAAAUCUUGCUGGAACUUUAAAACUAAGCAGAGUAAAAUGUGAAUUUAGUGUGCCACAUAUUUACAUAGCAGGAAUAACAGCUGAAGCAUCGGAUGGCACACAGAUAAAUGUAGAAGUACUGGAUUCAACUGUUUGUUUACACAAAUCUGAGUUACCAGAUGGCCUCAUGAAAUUUAAGUUACAACUAUCAGAGGCCCUUGGAUAUACAAACAUAGUGAUGCUAGAACAAAACCUUGACAAGAUUGAAGGUACUGAGAACUUUUACAGUCAUGUGGAGGAUCAGCUCAGGAAAGUGAUUGAAUGUAACAAAUGGGAAAAUCUGUGAAUCAGUCUUCUGAUUCAAAAAUUGAUCAACUUCUGGCUGAGGUGUUUGAUGCUGAUAUGAGGUCUUUGAUGCUGAUAAUUGUGGUAUAGAAAUUGGUGAUGCUGCUGAAGUUCACAUUCAGGGAUUAACAGCAUCUGAAGAAGAACUUCAAGAUGUUUCAGACAAUGAAUGUUCAAUAGUGCCAACAUGAGCUAUUGAAACUCCAUCUCUUAGAGAUCCAACAUGCCAUUGCCACCAGAGAACAGAAUUUUCGUCCAGUAUCUUGUCUUCCAUGAUAUCAACAUCAACAGGUUCUGAUGCAAACUCUAUCAUUACAGGAGUUAAGAAACCAUUUGAAUAUUUCAGUCAGCA